AGUAUAUCAAACAUACUACACAAAACACUGAUCACGGAGUCAUACAUUUCUUUACCUUUGUCAUGUCCAUAAAGCUCUUCAAAACACAUGCUUCCGAGAUCCAUCUUCUUCGUGGGAUCAAAACAUUGUCGCCACAAUUAACAUCUUAUUGAUGUUCUUCAUCCCAUCCCAGUAUUUGUCAAACUUCACAUACAUCUCCACAGCCUUUUCCUUGAGUUCAUGAUCUUUGCUAUGGCUCAAAUCCAUAAGGUUAGCAGUUAUGGUUACAAUUCCCGUAACAGUUGUAAGCACUGAGAGAGGUAGAGUCAGAUACAACUAGAGUGAAGUUGUAGAAGAUGACUAAGAACCGGCCAAAUCUUUUUAUUGCUCUACAAUCAGCAAACUGAGGAGGGCCUAUCAGGUUGAUGAUAUGUGCACUACAUCUCAAAUGCAUGAAUUCUCCAUCUAAAACUAAUGCCUCGUUAGACAGUAAAGAAAACUGACUCGGAAAUCUUCUCAAUGCAGAUUAAUUAGCCGUUGAAUUGUCUACAUUUACAGAGAAUGCCUUUCCUAUUCCCAGUC
rnacentral:lncRNA from 1 species